UAGCUUGGACGUAUUGGGUAUUGAUUUUCAAAGAAAACUUCAUAACAGCAAUUGGUACUAAUAUUUCCUCUAAAUAAGUCGUCUAUAGAAUCGAAGAGGCUGAGGAGACCGAUUUUAUGCACGAGCGAAGCGCUCGCUCGCCCUUCCACUCGCGGGGCUUCACUUCGCCAGUUCGCCCCUCGAUUCGGACCUGUCCGGUUGCAGCCGCUGUUCCAUUGCACCCGCUUCAGAACUGCGGUGUAGUGGCAACAAGAGGUGACCAAGCAAUCCAUCUCUGGGCACAUCCUCUGUCCGACGAUGGGGUCUCCAGCAAGGUCGUCGUCAUCCAUUCAGAUGGUUUUCCAGGAGACCAUGACAGUUAUGCCUCAGCCUCCUCCUCCACCCCCUCCUGCGGCAACGAUUGAGAUCUUGACAGCUGACCCUAUGGCGGGCGCCACGGUUGUGACCAUGGGCUCUCCAGGCAUGAAUGUCCGAGCGACGAUGUCGAACGAGGGAGUGAACAUGCAAGUAACUAACGAUUGUGCGCCCGGUUGCGGAGUUCAGGUGCCAGCAGCGCAACCUCGACGAAGCACGUCCACCACCCGUUUCGAGAGGCGAGUCAUCAUCGUGGACGGCACCGAAACGGUCGAAGAAUACGAGAACGGACGACUGGUCAGAAAGACAGUUAAUGGAAAGCCCCAACCUGUUUAGUAGGACUUGGUCGAUUGCGUGACAUCGACUUGCCAGUAAAAUUUCUUGCACUGUGG